ensembl:lncRNA
GCAUUUUAACUUAGACAUCAUUUAAUUAAUACCUACUAUUCUGUAAUUCAAAAACAUGGUGUCACAUUCAAAAUGCAUAGUAUAGGCAAAUUCACACUGCACCAGCAGACGCAGGCAAAUUGCAAACAAACACAGUCUUCGGGUUUUGUUGUAUCAGUGUGGUACCCAUUUAGCCAUCUGUUGCUGCUUGUUUUUGUCAACUGAACAAGUUGAAUAUGUGUUUUUUUGGGUCAUGGAAAGUCUGAGUAGUGACACAAUGUACGCAGUUGGCUAUUGGUGCAGUGUGAAUUAGCCUUAUGCAGAUGAGACCUUGUCUGUUGACUGUGACUCUGAAUGUGGUUUCUGUGGCUGUUUGAUGUACAUAGAAAUUUAGAAAUUCAGUUGGCUGAAUGUAUUCAUUGUAUUCUGAUUUGUUUUAUAAUAGAGAGGACUCUGCAUUACCAGGAAAGAGUGCUGCCAAUCUAUUUCUCACUUAGUUGUCACUCUCACCUGCUGAUAAAGAGGAAUCAUUAUAUCGUCAGCAUCAAGAGUUACCUGGAGAAUAUAGGGAAUCUGUGUAAAAGUGGACCCUUGCAUGCUUGUGAGGUUAAAAGUGAAAGUAGCAAAAACUUACACAGUCAUCACCGUGAGCUUUCUGGCACAACCUUCAGACUUCACAAGGAACUGCAGGUGUGUGUGUGUGUGUGUGUGUGUGUGUGUGCGUGUGUGUGUAAAAGUGUGUAGCUGGUGUGUAAUCAUAUGAAUAAGCAUAAUAAAUUUAAAAAGGCUUCUAUUUUCA